AUGGCUAUAUGUGCUUACAAAAUGUUGGUGCUUCAUUCUAAAGACUUCCGAGAGGUUGAUAGGAUUCCAAGGUGGUUGGUUGUGGACAGAAGAAGGGCUGGUCCAUUUUCUUUGCAACCAAACACCUUCCACUCUCCUAGCUUACAUUGUCAACUGUUUUUCCGAGCUCAGAAUGUUUCCCUUCAAGAAAAAGAGAAGACUGCAUACAAGACCCGGGUGGCUCGCAAUGCAAACAUGGCCAAAUUUCAAGCCGCGUAUAUCUUUCCAGAGAUUGCUAGAAGAAGGGAUGCACACUUGCAGAAGUACCCUGAUGCACAAGUGAUUAGCCUUGGACAUGGUGACACCACUGAGCCCAUUCCAGAAGUUAUAACCUCUGCAAUGGAAAAGAGAUCACAAGCUUUGUCCACCCUAGAGGGUUACAGUGGUUAUGGACCUGCGCAAGGUGAAAAGCAAUUGAGAGCUGCAAUUGCUUCAACAUUUUAUGACAACCUUGGCAUAGAGGAAGAUGACAUAUUUGUUUCUGAUGUGCAAAAUGCGACAUUUCCCGCCUUCAGCUUGUUUUCGGGUCUAAUGUUACAAUGGCAGUGCAAAGUCCAUCUUAUCCGGCUUAUGUGCAAUCGAGUGUUGUUAUGGGCCAGACUGCACAAUAUCAGAAAGAAGUUGAGAAGUUUGGAAACAUUGAGUACAUGACGUGCACUCCUGAGAAUGGAUUUUUUCCUGAUUUACGCAAAGUUGCUCGAACAGAUACCAUAUUUUUCUGCUCACCAAACAACCCUACUGGUUCGGCUGCAACCAGAGAGCAACUGACACAACUAGUACAGUUUGCUAAGGAUAAUGGUUCAAUCAUAGUCUAUGAUUCUGCAUAUGCCAUGUAUAUGUCAGAUGACAAUCCUCGCUCAAUCUUCGAAAUCCCGGGAGCUAAAGAGGUUGCAAUUGAGACAUCAUCAUUCAGUAAGUACGCUGGAUUCACUGGAGUUCGCCUGGGGUGGACGGCAGUCCCAAAGCAGUUGCUCUUUUCAGAUGGAUUUCCUGUCGCCAAGGACUUCAACCGCAUCGUAUGCACUUGCUUCAGUGGUGCAUCAAACAUUGCCCAAGCUGGUGGUGUGGCUUGCCUUUCACCGGAAGGCAUUAAGGCUAUGCAUGAUGUGAUUAGUUUCUACAAAGAAAAUACUGGAAUUUUAGUGGACACAUUUGAGUCUCUUGGCUUUAAGGUGUAUGGAGGGAAGAAUGCACCGUAUGUGUGGAUUCACUUCCCGGGCCGAAGCUCAUGGGAUGUAUUCAAUGAGAUUCUUGAGAAGAUUCAUGUGGUUACCAUACCUGGGAUUGGUUUUGGGCCUGGUGGUGAAGGUUUCAUUAGGGUUAGUGCCUUUGGUCAAAGGAGAAACGUUUUAGAAGCCUCUGAAAGAUUCAAGCAAUUAUACAAGUGAAGUGACUCUAGAGUGGUAUCUGCAGCCUUCUAUAUGAAUCGGAGAUCAUCGAUAUUUGCCUCCAUUUCUGUUCUAUGUUGUGUGCACUAGUAAACUUCUGA